AACAGUUCACGCCACCCUAUCCCUCCACGGGAACCUCCACAGUACGUACCGGUACAUGUACAAAGGAAGGACUUCUUUUUUGCCCGGGUUAUGUAUUUUAAAACUAAAUCACAUGCCUGAAAUAAUUUGAUUUAAUUUACACGAUAAAUAAAUGUAUAUUACUGUGUUGCUCUAGAUUUUCGAUCAUCAUAACCACUGACUAAGUCAUAACUAACAUGAUCCUCUCCCUACUCUAGUCGGGAAGCAAUGACUUUUUCCCGAGGGGAUCAGAGACUGGGAAACCUAUUCCAACAGUUUUGAGUUUAGGAAAUCACUGUACAGAUUCUGUUUGUAAAGUUAACAAACGAAAUUAAUUGAAGGUUUUCCCAGGGACCAGUUGAAUUCUCAUGCGAGCGGAAAACUUGUCUGUAGGUGUGGAACAUUGUGGUGAGGACUGACAGCAGCUCAUCAAAAUACCAGUUUCCUGUCU